GGCUCACGUUGCAGUAGUUGGUUGUAACGCCGGCGUCCUUUUCGGUUGGAGAGCCAUCUGGAAAAAUGUGGACCACGCGAAUGGGGACGUCUGGCGGCGGGGUCCUCGUCUCCGCCACCGGGCUGCCCGGCGCAGAUGGGGAUCGCAGUGGGUGCUCUCAUGGGACACCAGCUUUGCCAGAUGCUCCGCACACACUCGCCUCCUGCAACUUUCGAUGGAUCCGAAAGCCUCCACACCAUGACUGUGCGGGGCGCAAGAAGGCUCAGAGGUAAAGCCGCUGGGAACCGGCACCCCGCAGGACCUUGAAGCCGUGGAAAUCCGCGAGAAUGGAAGACCCUGCCUGCAACCCACAUUCCUGGAAUGCAACACCAAGGCCUCCCUGUCGCCUAGAACUCAGGUGGUCACAGGGCGUCCCCGAGGCUGCUAGCCCCGCGUCCCCAACGGCAGAGUCAGGAAGGCCUCAGCCAAGCCCAGAAGUCAACAGCUUUCCGGGUGCAUGGGAUGUCUGCUCCUGGCUGCAUCCGGCAGGCCCCAGGGCGUCCUGAGGACCCAGCCCGCGAUAAAGCGGGUCAGCUGUAGCCCAGCCCCCUCCCUCAGGAUUAAAUGGCAACGCCGUUCCACCAGCCCUGACAGCAGCCCCCGCCAGGAGUGUCGUACCCCGGGUCCAGGAUGGCGACUGCAGAAAGGCUGGUUCCAAGACCCCCUCAGUCCCAUCCCACCCGGAUGUCAUCCCAGCAAUCAAGUGCCCACAGCCCCGGGGGCACAGGGACCAGCGUGCCAGCCCGGCUUCAGGCUGUUUCAACGUACUUGCCCAGUGCUAUCACCAAACUGCCAUUUAUUUUAGACUUUCAUGCUUUCAGCAGGCUUUCUCUUAUAUUUUUUGCUUUUAAAUUGACUCUGACUGGGCCGAGGAUUUAGCUCAGUGGUUUCGCUGCCUGCUCCCCGGUACCAAUAAAUAAAUAAAUAAAUAAAUAAAUAAAUAAAUAAAUAGGCUCUGACGACACCUCUGCUCUGAGGACUCACCUCACUUUCUGGCUCGGAAAAGGGUGACUCACUGUGGUCUUGGCCGCUCAGGGAAUUCCCACGUGGGUUCCUUCCUGCCAAAAAGAAAGCAAAAGUCACACACACCCCGCAGCCACAGAAGCAGGG
ensembl:lncRNA